rnacentral:rRNA from 1 species
GAUGAACGCUGGCGGCGUGCUUAACACAUGCAAGUCGAACGAAGCACUUUUAUUUGAUUUCUUCGGAAUGAAGAUUUUAGUGACUGAGUGGCGGACGGGUGAGUAACGCGUGGGUAACCUGCCUCAUACAGGGGGAUAACAGUUAGAAAUGACUGCUAAUACCGCAUAAGACCACAGCACCGCAUGGUGCAGGGGUAAAAAAUCCGGUGGUAUGAGAUGGACCCGCGUCUGAUUAGGUAGUUGGUGGGGUAACGACCUACCAAGCCGACGAUCAGUAGCCGACCUGAGAGGGUGAUCGGCCACAUUGGGACUGAGACACGGCCCAAACUCCUACGGGAGGCAGCAGUGGGGAAUAUUGCACAAUGGGGGAAACCCUGAUGCAGCGACGCCGCGUGAGCGAUGAAGUAUUUCGGUAUGUAAAGCUCUAUCAGCAGGGAAGAAAAUGACGGUACCUGACUAAGAAGCACCGGCUAAAUACGUGCCAGCCGCCGCCGUAA